GACGAACGCUGGCGGCGGGCCUAAUACAUGCAAGUAGAACGCAGUUGCGAACGGGUGAGUAACGCGUAGGUAACUGCCUCAUAGCGGGGGAUAACUAUUGGAAACGAUAGCUAAUACCGCAUACCGAGAGAUGGACCUGCGUUGUAUUAGCUAGUUGGGGAGGUAAAGGCACACCAAGGCGACGAUACAGAGGCGACCGGAGAGGGUGAGGAGGCACCCUGGGACUGGAACACAGCCCAGGCUCCGACGGGGAGGAGCAGUAGGGGAUAUUGGGAAAUGGACAGAGGGCUGAGCCAGCACCGCCCCGGGAGUGUAGAAGGUGUUGGGAUCGUAGAGCUUUGUUGUUUGAGAAGCGGUAACUAACCAGAAAGGAACGGCUAACUCCGUGCCAGCAGCCGCGGUAAUAC
rnacentral:rRNA from 1 species